GACGAACGCUGGCGGCGUGCUUAACACAUGCAAGUCGAACGGAAAGGCCCCUUUGGGGGUACUCGAGUGGCGAACGGGUGAGUAACACGUGAGUAACCUGCCCUUGACUUCGGGAUAACUUCAGGAAACUGGGGCUAAUACCGGAUAGGAAUCCUUGCUGCAUGGUGGGGGUUGGAAAGCUUCGGCGGUUUUGGAUGGACUCGCGGCUUAUCAGCUUGUUGGUGGGGUAGUGGCUUACCAAGGCUUUGACGGGUAGCCGGCCUGAGAGGGCGACCGGCCACCUUGGGACUGAGAUACGGCCCAGACUCCUACGGGAGGCAGCAGUGGGGAAUAUUGCACAAUGAGCGGAAGCCUGAUGCAGCAACGCCGCGUGCGGGAUGACGGCCUUCGGGUUGUAAACCGCUUUCAGCAGGGGCGAAGCUUGUGGUGACGGUACCUGCAGAAGAAGCACCGGCUAACUACUU
rnacentral:rRNA from 1 species